rnacentral:rRNA from 1 species
UAAUUCGAUGCAACGCGAAGAACCUUACCUACUCUUGACAUCCACAGAAUUCGGCAGAGAUGCCUUAGUGCCUUCGGGAACUGUGAGACAGGUGCUGCAUGGCUGUCGUCAGCUCGUGUUGUGAAAUGUUGGGUUAAGUCCCGCAACGAGCGCAACCCUUAUCCUUUGUUGCCAGCACGUAAUGGUGGGAACUCAAAGGAGACUGCCGGUGAUAAACCGGAGGAAGGUGGGGAUGACGUCAAGUCAUCAUGGCCCUUACGAGUAGGGCUACACACGUGCUACAAUGGCGUAUACAAAGAGAAGCGAACUCGCGAGAGCCAGCGGACCUCAUAAAGUACGUCGUAGUCCGGAUCGGAGUCUGCAACUCGACUCCGNGAAGUNGGAAUCGC